rnacentral:rRNA from 1 species
AAACUUUUAACAACGGAUCUCUUGGCUCUGGCAUCGAUGAAGAACGCAGCGAAAUGCGAUACGUAGUGUGAAUUGCAGAAUUCAGUGAAUCAUCGAAUCUUUGAACGCACAUUGCGCCCGCCAGCAUUCUGGCGGGCAUGCCUGUCCGAGCGUCAUU